CACAUGAUCAUAAAGCCAUGAGGUUGCUUCUGGAAGACUGAAAUUGCGCCAAAAAAUUGUGAGAUGUUUGUGCUGUUGCAGCUGGCUUGUUUGGAAUAUCUGUCCAGCUCAAAAAUGGCUCCAGCGGUUAGAAACAGGUGUUGGAUGGCAGAAUGGUUUUAUGGAAACUUCAAGCAUAUGACAGCUUAAUUUUCUUCCACAAGGCUGUGAGACCAGUUUGCAGGUGAUGCUAAAGUUAUCAGAUCUACAGCACCAGGUGACAUACAGCCAACACUUAGUGUCUAGCUUAUUGUCAAAAGAAAUGUGUCUGUGCCUCCUUUGUUAAACCAGAUGUAGCAAUGUGAAGCGAGAGGCCAUAAUAUACAGAGGUCUUCACUUCAACUGCGUCUGCUUACAUCCCCAGGCUGCACGUUGAUUUUGUUUUAUUUACAGAUGUUCAAGCACUGGAAAAAAUGUCUACAUGAAACAUUUCUCCGUUACAUCAGCCCAGCAUAUGUGACCGUGUAUGGAGAGAUGCUCACUUCACCUCUUGUUUACGCAGAAGAAAGGCUUCCACGCUGUCACUAGAUGAUUCUCAUUACAAUGGCACCAUGAUGACGGUUUACAGAUUACAGAGAACCUAAUCUAACGCCUUUCUGCAACUAUUGAAUAAUUGGAACACAACUUGUGACUUUAGCCCAGUGACAUUAAGCUAGAUAUCCUUUGUUGAAGAAAUAGAUGCCUCGUGUGAUUGGUUCACCCAUAUGCAUUGCUAUGUGCACGCACCUAUCAGCAGCUACUGAGCCUAUCUAGAUAUGCUUUUCAGCAAAGAAUAUCAAGAGAAUGAAACAAAGUAGAUAAUAGAAGUUCUGUCAUAGCUGUCUCUUUAAAGAUGAACAAUUAAACUUAUAUACACACACGGUGCGCACAGGGAAAAAAGUGAUUAUGGCAGAAGUGCAGCAUUUUUCUUCGACUACCUUGAACGAUAAACAUGGAUGUAAUUUGGAUUUAUGACCUCUGGCUGCUAUUUUAAGUGUGUUGUUGCUGUGUGUCAAUAAAGCUUUGACUUCUUUUA